UCCUCACCCACAUGCACAGAAAAUGUCAAGAGGGAGGAGGAAGGUGUCAAGGACAGCACAAAUGUUUGUCAUCCUGACACUACAUAUGAGGAACUCUGGUCUAAACCAAUUCAUUAGAACUUAUGUCAAGCCAUGUUCCAAGAUGACAUCCUCACUAAUAAUCUUGAUGAUCGAAAGCACCACCACCCAGAUAUACGCACACAAGACUGCCUCGCCUCCAUCCAAAUCUGCAGCAGAUCAUGAAACGGACCAUGUCAGACUGUUUUGCUUUUCCAGUACUGCCAAGCUGGCAGCAGCGUUUAAUUGAUGUUAAGGCCGUAAAACACAGUGGAAGAAAAUCACUGGCCCUCAUUCUCUCGUUCUUGGUGUUGUGCAGAUGCUAAACAUAUUGUUUGCCGUGUUAAACAUUGAAGACCACAUACUUCCGUACUUCAGUAGUUAUAAAAAAGUCAAUUAAGUAAGAUCACCCAGUAAGUCCCCCAAAAAUAAAGCCUCAGACUAGAAUCCUGGCAAAUUCACUCCUUAGCAAUUUGAAUUAAUUGAUUGCAGCCAAUAGUUACAAUUAUCGCAGCAUGAGCUAAUGAUUGAGGAGCAGUUAAUGAUGGUAAGUGGACUUUUUUUAAUCCAACAACACACAGGUGGAUUUUAAACGACUGAUGUAUAUGCAAGAAUUGAUGUUAGAGGAUUGCCGGGGAAUGUUUCAUUAGGAUUCAAGGAUGGGACAGAACACAAAUGACUAGUUUUGGAACAUUGAAUUGAAUACAACUUUAUUGUCAAAUGCGAGUGUAUGUGGGCUCUCCAUAGCAGGUAGCCAAACACAAUGACAAACCAUUUUCCUUCUGAGGGAAAACAGAUAAAGCCACCUCUUUUUCAUUUUGCAAACGCAUUGCCUGCAACAUCUUAUAAUCUUGUACUUAUCAGUGAUAGCAUACUGGCAGUUUCAACUGCUACUUUGAUUAUUUAUAUUCUAUAUUAUAUCCUGCCUGUCCUGAGCAUCUAAACGAAAUUUGGCUAAUUAAUAAAUAUUACUUUUUCAUCAUUACAUACAGUAUUCAUCGUAAAUAGUAUCUACACAAUUAUUGAUCAACGAUUGGGGAAAACACAAUUUUUUUGUGGCCGUGAAACCUUUGUGGCCAAAACCCAAUGACAACCACUUUUGGUCUAAAAUAAAGCCAUAAGAGAGGACAGUCCCUUCUGCAGAACAACUGG